rnacentral:lncRNA from 1 species
AAACAGAAAGGCUCAUUUAUUAAAUUGAUUGUUGCAUUACAAAGAACAUGAGACAAAGAUUACAAGAUGUGGAGCUAUCUAGUAGCAACAGCCAGUUCUUGACCUUGCAAUCAACAUCUUACUUAUUCUAUUUAAUAUAUACUGUUUGAAGCAUUGAUCUGGCAAAAAACAUCUAAAACAUUAUGUGGAACUAUCUAGUAGCAGCUUCAUUCUCGACCUUGCAAUCAACAUCUGAGCCCUGCAUAUCAGUUUAUCUACAACAUCAAAGAAAUGAGAUAAAUAACUUAAAUUACAAAUAAUCAAAUUGCUACAGCAGUAAAAUUUGGAGGAGCAACAUACAAAGGUGAAGGCCAUGCAUAAGUAAUCCCGCUACAUCUAGUGAGCGGCAUGUUCUAAACCAUCAUCAUUUUUCCACCUUGUAUAUUGAAUGGAUGACGGAAUACUAUGUGCAUUGUGUUAUUACUGCAAAAAGAAAAACUAACAUAAACCAAGAAGAUAGAUUGAUCAUUACACACAUUUAUAGCCUAUUAAAAUAUACAGCUAUAUUAUUUGCUGAGUUGCAAACACAAGAACCAUUAAGGAGAAAAAUAAUUGGAUUAAAAAAUUUAAGAAUUAAUGAUGCAGUAACUCUUAUCCAUUUUUAGAUACACUAUAUAUUCGGAAACAAUAGACAAGAAAGGAUGAUGGAUGUAUAAAUUGUACAUUUAGCAGUAGUAACAGGAAGAUAUACAAAAAAGAAAUAGUAGGGUCAAAAUAUUUUGUGAAACUGUAUGGGAAAUGUGUGCGCACAUUAUGUUAGUCUGUCACUAAAUAUCAUAAGUUUAAGUUGUAGUAUAUUAUCAUACGAGAAAGUCAAAAAAGGAAGAAUUUCAAAAGCUAGAGCAAAAUAUAUUACAUGUUCAUACGCUAAAAAUCUUACCAUCUUAUACUUUUACAAGAGUGCAGCUUAGCUAUCAUUAUGUUGUCCACAGAUAAAAAAGUUAGGGUACCCCCAGAAGUGUUCUCUUGUACAAAUAAGGAUAAAAAAAGAAUUUGCAAUAUUGAGCUAUUAAUAAUCCGAUUUCCUUUGAACCAUGGAAGAAUCGUUGAUGCAAUAUAGAGCUAACAAUUACGAAUUACCUCAUAGCAAAACUAGCUUGCUACAUACUAGUAGUUAGCUAGGUUCAGUGCCAAUAACAUUGACCUGGAAGUCUGGAACAAAUCAAUUUUUUUGUAACCUGCAUAUUCAAAAUAUGGAUUGGUAACUUAGCAGACCAGUAACCAAUAUUUCAAAUAUACAUAUACUAAGAUAAAAAAUACUCUAGACAAAUUGUCCCAUCUAUAAGCCAAUACUCUUGGUGGAUCCGAGAACUAAAUAUUAAAUUCUGCAGUUACAAUCAUGUAGUAGAUCAGCUGCCGGUCAUCAGAACAUCAUUACUAAAACAAAGGUCUGCAGCCUAAAUGGUUUCCUGAGUAUGAACUUUCUUAAUCUGGAAUACAGAGAAUUUGAUGCACGUUGGUAUUACCAAUAUAUAUGAUAAACAAAAAGCUUUCCUAAGGGGAGAUGGCUCAGUAUUUAACUUUAUGAUUACGGUUGUACUCCCUCCGUUCUUAAAUAUAAGUCUUUGUAGAGAUUUCAGCAUGGACCACAUACGGAUGUAUGUAGAUGCAUUUUAAAGUGUAGAUUCACUCAUUUUGCUCCGUAUGUAGUCCAUAGUGAAAUCUCUACAAAGACUUAUGUUUAGGAACAGAGGGAGUAAUUGGCAAGCUACUAUUUCAAUAGUAAUUGGUGUCGUUUCCAUGCUUACUCCAAAGUUGAAGAUUCUAUAGUCAGUUUCUAGUAUAUUUCUAAAUGAGAUGGGAGAUGUAAGAAAGGGAACAUCCGGGUGGUUUGUCAUCUUGAUUCUUCUAGUACUUGUAAAGGUAUCUAAUAAUUGUUCCUCCCUGGUUAAACAACUAUAUAUCAGUACAAAACUAAUACCUGAACUACACCUAGUAGUAUUUCUAACAUCUGCAUCGUCAGCAUAGUGUAGGGAAUAUGGCUAAGUUUUGCUGAAAAAUAUACAUAAAUCAAUAGAAAUAUAAGAAACACAAUCACGUAGAGAGACACAUACACGACGAGGAGCAGCGCCCCUUGGCUGUCCCUGAACUGGGUAGUGCGGUCGCGGAGCAUCCUGGAGCCGACGAGCAAUGGCAGCACAGAGCAGGCAUUGUUCCACUCCAACGCUCUACUGUUGCACGAGUCGCACUACCGAUGGACUUGGGCGCUAGUGUGUCCCCCAACCAUGAACCCCUCUGUAUACUCCGGCAAGCUCUUCACCACCCUACACGCACCACAGCCAAAUUGACAGACUAUGUGUGUUCGUUAAAUCUCUUACCUUCAUCGUUGUACCCGGCUGCCUUCACGUACUCAUCGGCAGCAGAACCUGAGGAACUUACCCAUAGGCCUCAUGGCCUUAGAAGAUCCUUGGAAACACAUGUGGGAUGGGAAAGACUUCCAAUGAAAUCAAUAGUAAUGAAGGAACUGAAGUUAUUAGCAAGUAGCACAUGUUUGUACUUCUGAAUCCUCCGAUGUGUAUGUAUUUUCCAUGCCUGAAGAUGAUCUCCGUGUGGAAGGGGCAGGUGCAGAGGAUGCUCAUGUGGAUCUCGUCGGCUGUCCAUCGAGGAUCCGCUAAUCCCUCCCCUGCACUACUGACACAAGAUCCAAAUUCCAAUCCGACGAGGGGCAACCAGAUGGAUUGGUAUGGUGAGAACUGAGAAGGAUGAUGGACACCAAAUAGAUCUGAAAAGGGGCGGCACAAGAAAAUAUGGAAGCAGAGAUGCAGAGCUAGGUGGAGAUUCGGAGCCUCGGAGGGGAAGGCGCUGCCACCUCUUAUGGAAUAUGGAGUGAGGGAUUGCUUUAGGGUUUCUCACGGUAGAAAUUUUGGGAAGAUUUUGUUACGG